rnacentral:rRNA from 1 species
ACGGAAGGCAGCAGUGGGGGAUAUUGCACAAUGGGCGAAAGCCUGAUGCAGCAACGCCGCGUGAGGGAAGACGGUUUUCGGAUUGUAAACCUCUGUCUUCGGUGACGAACAAAUGACGGUAGCCGAGGAGGAAGCCACGGCUAACUACGUGCCAGCAGCCGCGGUAAUACGUAGGUGGCAAGCGUUGUCCGGAUUUACUGGGUGUAAAGGGUGCGCAGGCGGGAUAGCAAGUCAGCUGUGAAAACUAUGGGCUUAACCUGUAGACUGCAGUUGAAACUGUUGUUCUUGAGUGGAGCAGAGGUAGGCGGAAUUCCGAGUGUAGCGGUGAAAUGCGUAGAUAUUCGGAGGAACACCAGUGGCGAAGGCGGCCUACUGGGCUCUAACUGACGCUGAGGCACGAAAGCAUGGGGAGCAAACAGGAUUAGAUACCCUGGUA